GAACAAGUACCGUGAGGGAAAGGUGAAAAGAACCCCGGGAGGGGAGUGAAAUAGAGAAUCUGAAACCAUAUGCUUACAAAAAGUUCGAGCCCGUUAAAGGGUGAGAGCGUGCCUUUUGCAGAAUGAGCCGGCGAGUUAUGGUAUUGUGCAAGGUUAAGUAGAAAAUACGGAGCCGAAGCGAAAGCGAGUCUUAAAAGGGCGAAAAAGUACAAUGCUGUAGACCCGAAACUGAGUGAUCUAGCCAUGAGCAGGUUGAAGUGUAGGUAACACUACAUGGAGGACCGAACCAGGGUACUAUGUAACGUGCUUGGAUGACUUGUGGUUAGCGGUGAAAUUCCAAUCGAACUCAGAGAUAGCUGGUUCUCCCCGAAAUAGGUUUAGGCCUAGCCUUGAAGAAUUUCCUCUGGAGGUAGAGCACUGAAUGUGGAAUGGCCGCGUCUAGCGGUACUGACUGCAAUCAACCUCCGAAUGCCAGAGUAGUUAGCUUCAGGAGUCAGUUUAUGGGUGAUAACGUCCAUAUGCGAGAGAAAAACAAUUCAGACCACCAGUUAAGGUCCCAAAAUAUAUGUUAAGUGGGAAAGGAUGUGGAGUUGCACGAACAGCUAGGAGGUUGGCUCAGAAGCAGCCAUCCUUUAAAGAGUGCGUAAUAGCUCACUAGUCGAGUGGCUCUGCGCCGAAAAUGUACCGGGGCUAAACAUAUUACCGAAACUGUGGAUUUAUGCGAUAGCAUAAGUGGUAGGGGAGCGUUCUAAGGGCGACGAAGAUAGAUCGAGAGGACUAUUGGAGCGCUUAGAAGUGAGAAUGCCGGUGUGAGUAACGUAAGGUAGGUGAGAAUCCUACCCACUGAUUGACCAAGGAUUCCAGGGUCAAGUUCGUCUACCCUGGGUAAGUCAGGACCUAAGGCGAGGCUGAGAAGCGUAGUCGAUGGACAACAGGUUUAUAUUCCUGUACUAUUUAUAGGACUGAAGGAGUGACAAAGGAAGCUAGUAAGAGCCAUUUAAUGGAUUAUGGUCUAAGCACAAAGACUGAUACAUAGGAAAAUCCGUGAUAUCGAACGGUUGAAGUGUGAUGGCGAAGCAGUCUACGGACAGCGAAGUCUUAUGAGGCUAAACUUUUUAAAAAAGCUUCUAAAGAUAUGCUAUAAAUACCUGUACUAAGAACCAACGCAGGUGGUCAAGGAGAGAAUCCUAAGGUGAGCGAGAGAACUAUGGUUAAGGAACUCGGCACAAUGAUCCCGUAACUUCGGAAUAAGGGAAGGUCUUGAAAAAGACCCGCAGUGAAUAGGCCCAAGCGACUGUUUACCAAAAACACAGGUUUCUGCAAAAGCGUAAGCUGAAGUAUAGGAGCUGACGCCUGCCCAGUGCUGGAAGGUUAAGAUGAUUUGUAAGAUGGACGAAAGUCGAUAACAUCGAAGCAAUGAAUUGAAGCCCCAGUGAACGGCGGCGAUAACUAUAAUCGUCCAAAGGUAGCGAAAUUCCUUGUCAGGUAAGUUCUGACCCGCACGAAAGGCGUAAUGAUCUGGACACUGUCUCAACAGCCCACCCGGCGAAAUUGUAGUACCGGUGAAGAUGCCGGUUACCCGCGACAAGACGGAAA
rnacentral:rRNA from 1 species